GAGCUGUUAACUCGUCUCUCACUCCGGGACUGGGACAGAUCCUCCUUGCCUGAUACCCUCCUGCCCAUCCUAGGAAGCUCUGGUCCCUGCCCACCUCUCCAAGAGUCCAGCCCCUUUCUUGGGUUGGAGGAAAGGGGAGGAGGUAGAUUUAUUAUAAAACCCAGGAAACCCAGGCCCCUAGAGUUGAAUUAGAACUCAGAAACCAGAAUUCACACCCCACCCCCAUCUUUUGCAACCUGAGGUGCAAGGAGGCAACCAGAGGCUUAAUCAGGGUCCCAGAGGAAGGAAACAGCUGAACUAAGACAUGCAGUUUGGUUCAUUGGUGGAAGUUGAGCUUGAUGUAUUACAUGGAGGGAGUCAAGCUUAUGCGAACUUUAAGGACUUGAGCUUGUCUAAAUCUUUACCCCCAUUUUUCAAGUGAAUAACUGAGGACCCAGGAAGUUAAGUUUAAUGCAAGUGUUUUUUUAAAUAACUUUUCAGAAAAAUACUUGUUGAAUAGGCGGAUCUCAAAGAGAAGAGACCACUUCUGUCUCUCUCUUCACUGCCCCCUGCCCAAGCCAGGAACUAAGAUCUAGCUUCCUCACUCAGAGGACUUCUUAGAAAAGGGGGUUGAAGAGUAAUUCGGGGACUUGUUGCUUUAGAGAAAGAGGAGGACAGAUUCCUGGAGGAGAUAAUGUGGAGACAUUCCUGAAGUACUGAGUCCCCGCUGCCCCCACCGCCACCAUCAACCCCUGGUCAGAGGCUGUGUAUUCAGAAGCAUAAAUGUGAGGAAUGCAGGUCCUUGUUCAAUCCUCGGUCCGGGAUGGAUUGAAAAAUGGAAGAAGCAAGGCCUCUUCUAUUAGUAAAUGUCUCUGUGCACAUGUAGGGAAUGCAGGUCUGCACAGACAGCUCCCUAUAGUGGCAGCUCCACUAAGGAUAAAAGCCUUAAGAAAAAGAAAGUGUAUCUGUCGCUGUCCAAGUUGCUGUCACACCUUUUAAUGAUGUCAUGAAUUAACACAGAGAAGUUGCUAACAGAUAAGAGAGUUGAUACUGGACAAAAGGAGACAUGAAAUUGAUGGCAGCAAAGGAAGGCUUCAUAUAUCAGAGGACAGAUACAGUUUAACAAGACCCGCAUGGCCCCGCCGGUGUGGCCCCCGCCGGCUUCUCCAGGCUCCUUUCAGCCCUGCUUCCCCAUCACUCCUGACGCCAGCUUCCUGCUGCAGCCCUGCUUCCCCAUCACUCCUGACGCCAGCUUCCUGCUGCCUCUCAGGUUUCUC
ensembl:lncRNA